rnacentral:ncRNA from 1 species
ACAAAUACUGUGAAGAGGAAGAGUAAGGAGACACUGUUCUAAGAGAGAAAAAUCAUUUGCUGAGAGAUUUUUUGAAUAAGAUUUGCUGAAAACCACCUCUGAGUUGAAGACUGAAUAUUAGUAGGUCUAAUCCGCUAUUAGGCGUUAAUGAUACUAAGUGAAUAUUAUACUUUUGUGUGAUAUUAAUUUGGGUGGAAUCGCGAAGUUACUCGUCCCAUUA